GGGGGCGUAGCUCACCUGGCAGAGCACCACCCUUUUAAGGUGGGUGUAGAAGGUUCGAGUCCUUCCGCCCUCA
rnacentral:tRNA from 1 species